rnacentral:rRNA from 1 species
UGCCAGCAGCCGCGGUAACACGAACUGCGCGAACGUUAUUCGGAAUCACUGGGCUUAAAGAGUCCGUAGGCGGCUUGGUAGGUGAGGUGUGAAAUCCCACGGCUCAACCGUGGAACUGCGCUUCAAACCACCAAGCUAGAGGGAGAUAGAGGAGAGCGGAACUGAUGGUGGAGCGGUGAAAUGCGUUGAUAUCAUCAGGAACACCGGUGGCGAAAGCGGCUCUCUGGUCCACGACUGACGCUGAGGUACGAAAGCUAGGGUAGCGAACGGGAUUAGAUA